UACGUAGGGGGCGAGCGUUGUCCGGAAUCAUUGGGCGUAAAGCGCGUGUAGGCGGCCCGGUAAGUCCGCUGUGAAAGUCCAGGGCUCAACCCUGGGAUGCCGGUGGAUACUGUCGGGCUCGAGUCCGGAAGAGGCGAGUGGAAUUCCUGGUGUAGCGGUGAAAUGCGCAGAUAUCAGGAGGAACACCAAUGGCGAAGGCAGCUCGCUGGGACGGUACUGACGCUGAGGCGCGAAAGCGUGGGGAGCGAACAGG
rnacentral:rRNA from 1 species